GCUGCCGCAAAAUCGGCUGCCGGGCGUAGGAACCCGAGUUACUUAUUGGCGACACCAGACGCGCCGUGCGUCUUUUUU
rnacentral:sRNA from 20 species